UACUUGACAAGACAUUCUGCACAUGAGUUUUAUUCUCUCUGGAACUGAUUUGGGUACAGGAUGUCAUGUGAGAAUCUAAAUGCCAAAUAAAGUCACUCUGUAGACAGAAAGAAAAAAGAAGUGGAAGAAAAUGGAGGUGGACUCCAAGAGGAGCAGAACCACGAUGUGACAACGAUGUGGAUCUGAGCCCAGACUCUUCAUGCAACAGAUUAGACUUGCCUAUAAUUAUAAGUAUUAGCUUCCUUUGGGUGAAGUACAAAAUGAACUACAUCUCUAAAGAAAACACAAGUUUUAAACACUGGUAGAGUUUAAAAGUAAGACUACAAAAGAAAAUGACACUAAGUUGCCUCCUCCUGGAUGUGUGUGCCCCGGAAUAGAGCUUAAUUUCCCAAGGAACACAACGGUUUAGGGUUGACUUCAGCUUGCAGCUUUGUGGCAGACACAGCUCACAACAGUAUCCACCACAAAGACUUGGAAAAGCAAAGACUGACUUCCUUAAUCUUCUUUUAGCCAGUUGUGGUCGAUGUGACAUGAACAAAAGGCUGUUUCUGACUAUUGGGAGAGCUUUUUCAUUUCUGAGGAAAGAGACUGCUUUAGAUUGAAAGUUUGGGUCUUCUCAAGAUUCAUAUGCUGAAACCUAAUCCCCAGUGUGAUGACAUAAGGAGGUGGGCUUUUGUGAGGUGACUGGGUCAUAAGAGUGGAGCCCUCAUGAAUGGGAUUAGUGCCCCCAUAAAAGAGGACCCAGGAGCUCCCUAGUGCUCAGUGGCCAAGGACUAUGGCUAAAGAGAAAAAAGUCAAGUAACAAACUGAUUGCUUGCUUACAUAAAUUUGAUAGUUUUUAAGUUUUUUAUUAAAGUAUAGUUGAUUAACAAUUUUGUGCCAAUUUCUGCUGUACACCAAAGUGAAGCAGUCAUAUAUAUACACACACACACACACACACACAUAUAUACAUACAUUCCUUUUUCUUUUCUUUUUUUUUUUUUUUUGUCUUUUUACGGCUGCACCUGAUGGCAUAUGGAAGGUUCCAGGCUAGCGAGGGAAUUGGAGCUAUGGCUGGUGGCCUAUAC
rnacentral:lncRNA from 1 species